rnacentral:rRNA from 1 species
AACGUAGGAGACAAACGUUAUCCGGAGUUACUGGGCGUAAAGGGCGUGUAGGCGGUUUGUUAAGUCUGGCGUGAAAGCUCUCGGCUAAACCGGGAGAGGUCGUUGGAUACUGGCAAACUAGAGGACGGUAGAGGCGUGUGGAAUUCCGGGUGUAGUGGUGAAAUGCGUAGAGAUCCGGAGGAACACCUGUGGCGAAGGCGGCUUUCUGGGCCUUACCUGACGCUGAGGAGCGAAAGCGUGGGGAGCGAACAGG